ensembl:lincRNA 4930519H02Rik uncharacterized LOC110316978
AUUAUUCUGUUGCUGCUGUGUGUCCUGGAGAUCCUGCAGCUUUGGAUCAGCAGGACUGGCCCUAUGUAUGCUUUCAAACUGUUCACAGAUGCUAUAGAUUUUGGGAUGAGCCAACUCCGAUGGAUCUGGUGGUAGCUGAGCUGGUCAGCACACUGGCUCUCCCUUAUGAGGUCCAUCAGGACAAGCCCUCCAGCACUGCUCCAGCUAGACCAUCUAGUACCACCAUCCCCAGGAGGCAGGUCUGCAUUCUGAACAUGGGUUUGCUGGUGGAGAAGACUGCAUGGCACACAUAAAAGUGGACGUGGGAGAGGAACAAGAAGGAAAUGGAAGAGGCCUUCAGAUGAAGAUGUAGAACUUGCAGUUCUUCCUGCACCAUGCCUACCUGGACACUGCCAUGCUCCUGCCUUGAUGAAAAUGAACUGAACCUCUGAACCUCAUACUAUAGCAAGAAAAUGCAAGCCUUUGGACAGUAUCCCAUGGAGAGUCCUCCUACGUGUACCAAUGGACAUCACUUGGGCUAUGCAAAGCUACUAAUACCAAUUUCUAAGUGAGUAGGGCAUUUUUCCAUUAUAUUUCUUCAUUUGAAAUGUUAAAUAAAAUGCAAUUUAUUAGCU